GAUGAACGCUGGCGGCGUGCUUAACACAUGCAAGUCGAACGGUGAAGCAGAGCUUGCUCUGUGGAUCAGUGGCGAACGGGUGAGUAACACGUGAGCAACCUGCCCCGGACUCUGGGAUAAGCGCUGGAAACGGCGUCUAAUACCGGAUAUGAGCUGCGAUCGCAUGGUCAGCAGUUGGAAAGAAUUUCGGUCUGGGAUGGGCUCACGGCCUAUCAGCUUGUUGGUGAGGUAAUGGCUCACCAAGGCGUCGACGGGUAGCCGGCCUGAGAGGGUGACCGGCCACACUGGGACUGAGACACGGCCCAGACUCCUACGGGAGGCAGCAGUGGGGAAUAUUGCACAAUGGGCGGAAGCCUGAUGCAGCAACGCCGCGUGAGGGAUGACGGCCUUCGGGUUGUAAACCUCUUUUAGCAGGGAAGAAGCGAAAGUGACGGUACCUGCAGAAAAAGCGCCGGCUAACUACGUGCCAGCAGCCGCCGCCG
rnacentral:rRNA from 1 species